UAAUAACAUGCAAGUAGAACGCUGAAGACUUUAGCUUGCUAAAGUUGGAAGAGUUGCGAACGGGUGAGUAACGCGUAGGUAACCUGCCUACUAGCGGGGGAUAACUAUUGGAAACGAUAGCUAAUACCGCAUAACAGCAUUUAACCCAUGUUAGAUGCUUGAAAGGAGCAAUUGCUUCACUAGUAGAUGGACCUGCGUUGUAUUAGCUAGUUGGUGAGGUAACGGCUCACCAAGGCGACGAUACAUAGCCGACCUGAGAGGGUGAUCGGCCACACUGGGACUGAGACACGGCCCAGACCG
rnacentral:rRNA from 1 species